rnacentral:rRNA from 1 species
AUUGAACGCUGGCGGCAUGCCUUACACAUGCAAGUCGAACGGCAGCACGGACUUCGGUCUGGUGGCGAGUGGCGAACGGGUGAGUAAUGCAUCGGAGCGUACCCGGUAGUGGGGGAUAACUACCCGAAAGGGUGGCUAAUACCGCAUAUACUGUGCGCAGGAAAGCAGGGGACCUUCGGGCCUUGUGCUACCGGAGCGGCCGAUGUCAGAUUAGGUAGUUGGUGGGGUAACGGCCUACCAAGCCUGCGAUCUGUAGCGGGUCUGAGAGGAUGAUCCGCCACACUGUGACUGAGACACGGCCCAGACUCCUACGGGAGGCAGCAGUGGGGAAUUUUGGACAAUGGGCGCAAGCCUGAUCCAGCCAUGCCGCGUGAGUGAAGAAGGCCUUCGGGUUGUAAAGCUCUUUCGGACGGAAAGAAAUCGCGCAGGCUAAUACCCUGCGCGGAUGACGGUACCGUCAUAAGAAGCACCGGCUAACUACGUGCCAGCCGCCGCGGUAA